AUUGAACGCUGGCGGCAGGCUUAACACAUGCAAGUCGAGCGGGGUGAGGUGCUUCGGUACUGAUCCUAGCGGCGGACGGGUGAGUAAUGCUUAGGAAUCUGCCAUUUAGUGGGGGACAACAUUCCGAAAGGGAUGCUAAUACCGCAUACGUCCUACGGGAGAAAGCAGGGGAUCUUCGGACCUUGCGCUAAAUGAUGAGCCUAAGUCGGAUUGGCUAGUUGAUGGGGUAAAGGCCUACCAAGGCGACGAUCUGUAGCGGGUCUGAGAGGAUGAUCCGCAACACUGGGACUGAGACACGGCCCAGACUCCUACGGGAGGCAGCAGUGGGGAAUAUUGGACAAUGGGCGGAAGCCUGAUCCAGCCAUGCCGCGUGUGUGAAGAAGGCCUUUUGGUUGUAAAGCACUUUAAGCGAGGAGGAGGCUACCUGGAUUAAUACUCUAGGAUAGUGGACGUUACUCGCAGAAUAAGCACCGGCUAACUCUGUGCCAGCCGCCGCAGUAA
rnacentral:rRNA from 1 species